ACGGGAGGCAGCAGUGGGGAAUAUUGGACAAUGGGGGAAACCCUGAUCCAGCGACGCCGCGUGAGUGAAGAAGUAUUUCGGUAUGUAAAGCUCUAUCAGCAGGGAAGAUAAUGACGGUACCUGACUAAGAAGCCCCGGCUAACUACGUGCCAGCAGCCGCGGUAAUACGUAGGGGGCGAGCGUUGUCCGGAAUGACUGGGCGUAAAGGGCGUGUAGGCGGCACUGUAAGUCUGGAGUGAAAGUCCUGCUUUCAAGGUGGGAAUUGCUUUGGAGACUGCAGAGCUUGAGUACAGAAGAGGUAAGCGGAAUUCCCGGUGUAGCGGUGAAAUGCGUAGAGAUCGGGAGGAACACCAGUGGCGAAGGCGGCUUACUGGGCUGUAACUGACGCUGAGGCGCGAAAGCGUGGGGAGCAAACAGGAUUAGAUACCCUGGUA
rnacentral:rRNA from 1 species